rnacentral:misc_RNA from 1 species
GUAGGUGAACCUGCGGAAGGAUCAUUACCGAGAGAGGCCGUCCCUUAACUGGGCCGAGUCUGAAACCUCAAACCCCCUGUCUACCGACCCCAAUUUACAAACUCUUGUACAACAAUCAAAAGUCGUCCUUCGCGGGGCGCGUCUUUUAAUGUACGAAAAUUAAAACUUUCAACAACGGAUCUCUUGGUUCUG